rnacentral:tRNA from 1 species
GGAGGGGUGCCUGAGCGGUUGAAAGGGCUAGUCUCGAAAACUAGUAGCGGGCUUGCCUGCUCGUGGGUUCGAAUCCCACCUCCUCCGCCU